CUUUAUUUUUGCAUAAAACACAUGUAUAACAACAAAUAAUCCCCCAAAAUCCAUCUUUUGGCAUCUUAAAAUUAAACAGCACAGAGCAUUUGGGGAGCUGUGCUGGGCAUCAGUGUGUAAAUAUACCUCAUAUUUAAGUGUAUGGCAACCCUGGCUGAUUUUCUUGAAGGGUAAACCACUACAAACGAGCUUACUUGGGGAAACUGAAAUCCACGUUCAUCACGUCUCUCUCUUUCCUGAAAAUUCCUGAAAUUGCUAUAAUGCCAGAUAGAAGCCUUGGUUCUUCACUAGGUGUAUGAUUGUUCCAUUUUACUUAUUUACAUAUUUUGUUGCUAUAUUAUUUUUGUUUGUUCUCAUACAUGUCAGCGUAUACGUAAGCCUAGAGGUUUUGUGAAUGUCAUUGUAAUAUAUGUUAUGUAUGAACCAUUCUCAGCACUGACGUCAUCUCUGAACCUUGUUUUUGCACCCAGGGCCUCAAAGCCAUCGUGGUUAUGGCUAAGGGAUUUGGAGCUGUCAGCGUCGGGGAUAGUGCUCCGGAUACGACGGUCAAAGAAGGAUCAGGCAGGCAAGGGAGCCCAGGAUCAUAUCGGAGUUAUGGGGGGGUGUAUAUUGCCCAGUACGGCUAGUGAGGGAGUUCCUCCAGUUUCGGGGUCAAAGGAUGGUACGUCGCUGAGUCGUUUCCAGUUCUCUAGGAAUUCAAGGGAGGUUGGAUUGGACCCUGGGUAGUACUCGUCACAUUCCUUCCGUAUAGGUGCGGCGACGCAGGCGAGUCAGAUGGGUCUCCCCGCGGAGGCGUUAAAACCGCUGGAGUGGUGGAAGUAGGACCGGUAUCAGCUAUAUGUGCGCCCACAUAUGUUAUGAUGGUGUUUAGCAAUUUCCCCUUCUCUCUCCCUCCCUUCCCUUCCCUCUCAGUUCAUUAGGUAUGUGGUUCCCGGGUGUGGGGUUGUUAAUUCUGUUCUUUCAUUCUAGGUAGGGGUCCGCGCUUUGUAUGGAUAAUCGGGCACUCCUAUGUGUACUGGGCAGCCCGGCGCGUGGAAGACAGAGUGUAUGGCCGUAACUUGAGUUUUCCCUGUGAGUUCGGGUAUGUUGGAGGGGGUUAAAUGUACUCAGAAUGUCUUCAAUUGAGCCGUAGCGGCGGUCGGUCUUGAUGGGAGUUUGGUCAGAAAUCAUCCCUCGCCCAGUAUGGCGGACGAGUGCACAUGGUAAAGGCUUAGAGAGGUGUAGGAGGAAGGUCAACAUGUCAGUCUCUAGAUUUAUUCAACGCAUGGGGGGUGUGGUAGUACGCCACUUUGAGCUGGAAGGAGAUAAUACUAAUGUCAUGUGGGGGGGGUGGCGUACAUUUGUCACCAGUAGGAUUGGAGAUAUUCAAUGUGGGACUCCAAUCAGGAAUUGAAAUUGCGCUGUCGGCGGGGAAGCGCGAUGCCGGCGCGGAGUAGGGAGCGCAAGGAGGGCAUCGCGGUGGAGGUAUCCUGGACAGCGCAAAGAAAAAGGUUAAGACUAAGAGUUGCUUUGGGGAGAUGACAGCCCGCACGGGAGCUAAUGGUGGAGUGCCAGCCCGCACGGGAGCUGAUGGCAGAGUGCCGGCUGUUUAGGCUCAUGGAAAAAGGUUGGGGGAACUGUCUGUUGGGCAACCGCUCAACAGCUGAUAGAUUUGGAUAAUAUUAAAAGUUUUAAAUUUAAUAAAGCUGUGGCCGUUGCCCUUAUCCACUAAGAAGGUGUCCGGUGUGUUAUUGAGGGGCAACGGUGGGGACAUGGAUUAUGGGUCAUCAGUCAUGUAGUCUACAACAUAUGGGGUGCUAAAGGUUGCCUACCCUGUGCUAGAUCUAGGUAGUGAGUAGAAAAGGAGUAAAAAAAAUUAAUACAUUUUAAAAAAAACUCCCAAGCUUUUCAUCACAUUGAUCUCAAAUUCUACCCAGCCAGGUCUAAAACCUCUGUACAUGGAGAUAAAACUACCAAAUAAUUAUAUUAAAUGACUGGUAAUAAUAUGUCUAAAGACUGCAAAUGAUUAUUUAAACGGUGUCUGGGUAAGUAACUAUCUAAAAUAUAUAUUGUAUGUGUUGUCCUGUUACUCUGGAUACGUUACACUGUUCUAUCUAAGGUAUGUCUUUUUGCUGAUGAUACUAAGAUAUGUAACAGGAUUGAUGUUCCAGGAGGGAUAAGCCAAAUGACAAAUGAUUUAGGUAAACUAGAAAAAUGGUCAGAAUUGUGGCAACUGACAUUUAAUGUGGAUAAGUGCAAGAUAAU
rnacentral:lncRNA from 1 species